rnacentral:lncRNA from 1 species
UCUAAGCCCCAGCCAAUCGGGUAAGAGAACUGUCUUACGACAAGAAGUAGUCAUGGGAAGGGUUACCCGUAGAAUUUAGAAUCGGUAGUAGCCCGGGUUCGGGCAUUACAAAGGACUGCCAGUAAAGGGCCAAGCAGAGGCUUCAUCUAGUAUCCCCAAAAGCAAGCAGAGAGUCAGUUUAUUCGUGAAAAGAUGGGACGGGAGUUGCCCGAAUCAAAUACG